rnacentral:rRNA from 1 species
GACAGCAGCAGCCACGGGAAUACAGAGGGUGCGAGCGUUAAUCGGAUUUACUGGGCGUAAAGCGUGCGUAGGCGGCUUUUUAAGUCGGAUGUGAAAUCCCUGAGCUUAACUUAGGAAUUGCAUUCGAUACUGGGAAGCUAGAGUAUGGGAGAGGAUGGUAGAAUUCCAGGUGUAGCGGUGAAAUGCGUAGAGAUCGGAAGGAACAUCUGUGGCGAAGGCGACUAUCUGGGCCAACACUGACACUGAGGCACGAAAGCGUGGGGAGCAAACAGGAUUAGAUACCCGAGUAGUCCCUGUCUCUUAUAA